CCAGCGAACUUGGCAGAGAUGCCUUGGUGCCUUCGGGAACGCUGAGACAGGUGCUGCAUGGCUGUCGUCAGCUCGUGUUGUGAAAUGUUGGGUUAAGUCCCGCAACGAGCGCAACCCUUAUCCUUUGUUGCCAGCGAUUCGGUCGGGAACUCAAAGGAGACUGCCGGUGAUAAGCCGGAGGAAGGUGGGGAUGACGUCAAGUCAUCAUGGCCCUUACGAGUAGGGCUACACACGUGCUACAAUGGCGCAUACAAAGAGAAGCGACCUCGCGAGAGCAAGCGGACCUCAUAAAGUGCGUCGUAGUCCGGAUCGGAGUCUGCAACUCGACUCCGUGAAGUCGGAAUCGCUAGUAAUCGUGGAUCAGAAUGCCACGGUGAAUACGUUCCCGGGCCUUGUACACACCGCCCGUCACACCAUGGGAGUGGGUUGCAAAAGAAGUAGGUAGCUUAACCUCCGGGAGGGCGCUUACCACUUUGUGAUUCAUGACUGGGGUGAAGUCGUAACAAGGUAAGCGUAGCGAG
rnacentral:rRNA from 1 species